rnacentral:RNase_P_RNA from 1 species
UUACAGCUGAGGAAAGUCCGGGCUUCACAGGGCAGGAUGCCGGAUAAUGUCCGGUGGAGGCGACUCCCAGGAAAGUGCAACAGAAAUAAACCGCUCCCUAUCCUAAGGGGUACCGCGCGAAGCGUGGUGGAUCCCUUAGGAUGCCUCAGUGGCGAACGUAUUCAAAAGAAACGCGAAGCGUUUCUUACCGUUCUAUCCUAAGGGGUACCGCGCGAAGCGUUUCUUACCGCUUCAGGAUAAGGAGUAAGGGUGGAAAGGCAGUGUAAGAGACUACCGCCGGCGCGGCAACGUGCCGGGCACAUGUAAACCCCAUUCGAAGCAAGACCGAAAAGGAGCGUAAGGCGGCCCGUCUGCUCCAAGGUUGGUCGCUAGAGCCUGCCGGCAACGGCAGGUCCAGACAGAUGAUCAUUCACGACAUAACCCGGCUUAUCGUCCUGCUUG